rnacentral:lncRNA from 12 species
UGAUCGGGCUCCUGUCCUGCCCCUAACACAUAUUUUCCAGCCUAAAUAGCUUCAGCGGUUUUUAAACACCCACCAUCCUGCAUUUGCCUGACUCUUUACUGUUCUGAUUAUUCUUCUCUUAUUAUGUUCCUCUUGGAGUGAGCACUGGAGCAGAGCAUAGCAGUCCAGGCAAAACAGAUGGCUCUCUUCUGUUGAAACCUAAGUGACGUUGCCUUGGGCUCAGUCAUUUUAACUGUCCAGCUCUUGAUUUCAGUUCAGGUCAUGAUCUCAGGGUUGUGAGAUCAAGCACCACAUUGGGCUUUGUGAUCAGUGGGGAGUCUGCUUGAGAUUCUCUCUCUCUUUCUCUCUGCCUCUGUCCUCCCCACCUACCCCACUCUCUCUCUCUCUCUAAAAAUAUGUACAUAAUUUUUCUUGAAAAGAGAGAAUAUUGCUUGUGAGACUCAUGCUGCAUAAGUGACCUCAGGAGCCUGGUUAGUUGACAUUAGCUGGUCUCCACGUCAGGACUGGCCCUUCUGAUCUGGACGCCAAGAGCUAUAAACGUUGUCUUGCAUCCCGUCCAACUCCAGGCUAGGCUGACCCCCUGGAAUGGAAUCUGGGAGGGGAAGCAAACACACCUAGCCCAGGCGCCUUGAAGAUGUAAAGACAUAAUAACAGAGGAAUCGUGUCUCCAGAGGAAGCUUGCUCCAAACCGCAAAUGCAAACAAAUGUUUAACUUCGGACUCCAUCAUUUGCCUGAUAAAUAUGGCCCUGAUGGGGGUGGUCAGUCGGAAGCCUCACCCAAGGGGAGGAUGCUCCGCCCGGGGCCUCUCCAUCUGGACUCCAGCCUGGAUGCCUCCGCUAUGAGGUCGCAUGCAGAUGCUGGAGAAGGAGGAAGGUUUGAAGAGGAAACUUGCUGUUACCCCAACUAAGAGGGCAGAGCUGCAGCUCAGACAGCCCUAGGAGCCGGAACUGCAGGACGUUCUUGGAAGAUGCUGGAUCAGAGUAUGGAGAGCUAAGGGGUGGGCAGGCCCCUCACCCACCCCACUCCCAAGGGACUGCAUUCAGGCCUGCUGCACACAGACAGGGCUUUUGGGGACAGUCAGUGUAAGCCCGAGGAGAAGCCACAGCCAG